rnacentral:rRNA from 1 species
UACGUAGGGGGCAAGCGUUGUCCGGAAUCAUUGGGCGUAAAGAGCGUGUAGGCGGUUCGGUAAGUCGGCUGUGAAAACCCGGGGCUCAACCCCGGGCCUGCAGUCGAUACGGGCAGACUAGAGUGCGGUAGGGGAGACUGGAAUUCCUGGUGUAGCGGUGAAAUGCGCAGAUAUCAGGAGGAACACCGGUGGCGAAGGCGGGUCUCUGGGCCGUAACUGACGCUGAGGAGCGAAAGCGUGGGGAGCGAACAGG